UACGUAGGGCGCAAGCGUUGUCCGGAAUUAUUGGGCGUAAAGAGCUCGUAGGCGGCUUGUCACGUCGGGUGUGAAAGCCCGGGGCUUAACCCCGGGUCUGCAUUCGAUACGGGCUAGCUAGAGUGUGGUAGGGGAGAUCGGAAUUCCUGGUGUAGCGGUGAAAUGCGCAGAUAUCAGGAAGAACACCAAUGGCGAAAGCAGCUCUCUGGGACGGUACUGACGCUGAGACGCGAAAGCGUGGGGGAGCGAACAGG
rnacentral:rRNA from 1 species